AGUGAACGCUGGCGGUAGGCCUAACACAUGCAAGUCGAACGGCAGCACAGUAAGAGCUUGCUCUUACGGGUGGCGAGUGGCGGACGGGUGAGGAAUACAUCGGAAUCUACUUUUUCGUUGGGGAUAACGUAGGGAAACUUACGCUAAUACCGCAUACGACCUACGGGUGAAAGCAGGGGAUCUUCGGACCUUGCGCGAUUGAAUGAGCCGAUGUCGGAUUAGCUAGUUGGCGGGGUAAAGGCCCACCAAGGCCACGAUCCGUAGCUGGUCUGAGAGGAUGAUCAGCCACACUGGAACUGAGACACGGUCCAGACUCCUACGGGAGGCAGCAGUGGGGAAUAUUGGACAAUGGGCGCAAGCCUGAUCCAGCCAUACCGCGUGGGUGAAGAAGGCCUUCGGGUUGUAAAGCCCUUUUGUUGGGAAAGAAAAGCAGCAGGUUAAUACCCCGCUGUUCUGACGGUACCCAAAGAAUAAGCACCGGCUAACUUCGUG
rnacentral:rRNA from 1 species